rnacentral:lncRNA from 1 species
ACGCAGUUAUGUUUAUUACAUUAAAACUCAAUGCUGGGUCAGAGGGAUCCACACGGCUGCUCUGAUCUCUGAACCCUGAAGGCGUGGAAACAGAAGCCGCUGUGACUUGCAGGGUCAGGACUUGGUCUGCCUGCUUUGCAUAGCUAGACUCCUAUGCAUCCUUUCAGAGGUCACCCACUGUCCCAGUCAAAAGCAGCCUUUGCUUUCUGUGGCCAUACGGCACUGCUCCUCAACAGAGCAGCUCCUGUGGAAGGAUCUUCCAACAGCACAUGGACAUAUGUCCCUGACGUCCACACCCGGGCUACCAGGGCUGAGUCUGGCUCCUCACAUCCUUUUCCUCAUCUUGCCCUUCCUGGAGGGAGCACCCCUGCCGAAGGCACCCUGGCGCAGCUCCUGGGCUCGGCGGCGGUUGCGUGCUGAAAGUUGCUUCAGGCCCCCUCGCUGCAGGAAGCGCUGCUUCUGGGCUUGCCGGCGCUGCUUGAGGAUCUGCUCCUUGGUCUUGAGUUCUGAGCGCAUGCGGCCUGCGGGUACACUGGAAGCUCGGGGCUGGGAUGCACCUGUCAACACAGGGAUUUGGGGGGAGCUCAGCCUUGGAUCCAUGUUCAUCCCUGCGCCUCGCCGUGCCUGGCUUUCUCCCUGUCCACACCAUACCACCUGCCCUGCCCACCUUGACUACGACCUCGCUUUCCACCUCUGCGGGGCCCAGGGCCUCGCUGGUUGAAUGGCCCUUCUUCCUCGGAGUCCCGGUCAUCAAUUUUCUGCUUCUGCUUCCACUUCUGGUAGCUGAAAGCUUCAUUAAGGAAGUAACAAGUAGCACCCAAUUUGGGGAAAGGCCCUUAUUAGGGGGAUGCUGAGGGAGCCACUGGGUCCCAUCCCAGGUGCAGCCCCCCUCCUAUAGGACCUGGCCCCACCCCCAGGCCCUCCUAUAGGAGCAGUAGCUGAACACCCAGCCCCGCCCCCAGGCCUGGCCCCUCCUAGAGGAGCAGUAGCAGGAAGCCGCCUAGCCCAGCCCCUCCGCAGCCCAGCCUCUCAGGAUACAGAUCACGCUUGUAAGAGCUGCUGAUGAACCGGCCACUCUCUGUCUUGAUCUUUUUCUUGUCCUCUUGGCCCGACUGCCCGACAAACCGCUUCUUCUUCCGGUCCCUGAGAGGGAGAUGGGAGGCUCUACUUUGAGGAACCCGUCCCCUCACGUAGGGAUCGACUGUAGUCAGUAGAGGAUUAAAGGAAAACAGCCGGCC